ACCCACCGCGGCUCCGCUCGGCUGCAGCAGCGCGGCGCUGGACUCAGGUGCGGCGACAGCGAGCGCAGACGUGGCGGAGGACGUUGCUGAUCUGCUCCCGUGGAUCAGCGAACUGACAUCCAACGCAGGCAUCCCGGUCGACACCUCGGAGAUCGAUGAUGUGCUGGCGUGGCUCAGCAACG